CCAUUUGACCUCAAAUCAGGUAGGACUACCCGCUGAACUUAAGCAUAUCAAUAAGCGGAGGAAAAGAAACUAACAAGGAUUCCCCUAGUAACUGCGAGUGAAGCGGGAAAAGCUCAAAUUUAAAAUCUGGUAGUCUCUGGCUGCCCGAGUUGUAAUCUGGAGAAGUGUUUUCUGUGCUGGGCCGUGUACAAGUCUCUUGGAAUAGAGCGUCAUAGAGGGUGAGAAUCCCGUCUUUGACACGGACAUCCAGUGCUCUGUGAUGCACUCUCAAAGAGUCGAGUUGUUUGGGAAUGCAGCUCAAAAUGGGUGGUAAAUUCCAUCUAAAGCUAAAUAUUGGCAAGAGACCGAUAGCGAACAAGUACCGUGAGGGAAAGAUGAAAAGAACUUUGGAAAGAGAGUUAAACAGUACGUGAAAUUGUUGAAAGGGAAACGCUUGAAGUCAGUCGCGUCUAGCAAGGAUCAGCCUUUCUCGGAAGGUGUAUUUCUUGCUUGACGGGUCAACAUCAAUUUUGAYUACUGGAAAAAGGCCAGAGGAAGGUGGCACCUUCGGGUGUGUUAUAGCCUUUGGUCAUAUACAGUAGUUGGGAUUGAGGAAUUCAGCAUGCCUUCAUGGCUGGGGUUCGCCCACAUUCAUGCUUAGGAUGUUGGCAUAAUGGC
rnacentral:rRNA from 1 species